GGGAUGGCUCAGUGGUUAAGAGCACUGGCUGCUCUUCCAGAAGACCUGGGUUCAAUUCCUAGCACCCA
rnacentral:tRNA from 1 species